UGGUAAUGAUUAUACUUAUCUGUGAUUCUGAUGCUUCGUGCAAUGAAGUAAAAAAUGGAUGGUUGAAUUUCCUGAUAUGAGCCA
rfam:Picea glauca, whole genome shotgun sequence.